rnacentral:rRNA from 1 species
GGGGAAUUUUCCGCAAUGGGCGAAAGCCUGACGGAGCAAUACCGCGUGAGGGAGGAAGGCUCUUGGGUCGUAAACCUCUUUUCUCAGGGAAGAACACAAUGACGGUACUUGAGGAAUAAGCAUCGGCUAACUCCGUGCCAGCAGCCGCGGUAAUACGGAGGAUGCAAGCGUUAUCCGGAAUGAUUGGGCGUAAAGGGUCCGCAGGUGGCAAUGUAAGUCUGCUGUUAAAGAGUCUAGCUUAACUAGAUAAAAGCAGUGGAAACUACAUAGCUAGAGUACGUUCGGGGCAGAGGGAAUUCCUGGUGUAGCGGUGAAAUGCGUAGAGAUCAGGAAGAACACCAGUGGCGAAGGCGCUCUGCUAGGCCGUAACUGACACUGAGGGACGAAAGCUAGGGGAGCGAAUGGGAUUAGAUACCCCAGUAGUCCUAGCCGUAAACGAUGGAUACUAGGCGUGGCUUGUAUCGACCCGAGCCGUGCCGUAGCUAACGCGUUAAGUAUCCCGCCUGGGGAGUACGCCGGCAACGGUGAAACUCAAAGGAAUUGACGGGGGCCCGCACAAGCGGUGGAGUAUGUGGUUUAAUUCGAUGCAACGCGAAGAACCUUACCAAGGCUUGACAUGUCGCGAAUCUUGAUGAAAGUUGAGAGUGCCUUCGGGAGCGCGAACACAGGUGGUGCAUGGCUGUCGUCAGCUCGUGUCGUGAGAUGUUGGGUUAAGUCCCGCAACGAGCGCAACCCUCGUUUUUAGUUGCCAGCAUUGAGUUGGGCACUCUAGAGAGACUGCCGGUGACAAACCGGAGGAAGGUGGGGAUGACGUCAAGUCAGCAUGCCCCUUACGCCUUGGGCUACACACGUACUACAAUGCUCCGGACAGAGGGCAGCAAGAUAGCGAUGUCAAGCAAAUCCCAGAAACCGGAGCUCAGUUCAGAUCGCAGGCUGCAACUCGCCUGCGUGAAGGAGGAAUCGCUAGUAAUUGCAGGUCAGCAUACUGCAGUGAAUUCGUUCCCGGGCCUUGUACACACCGCCCGUCACACCAUGGAAGCUGGUAGUGCCCGAAGUCAUUACUCCAACCUUUCGGGGAGGAGGAUGCCGAAGGCAGGACUGGUGACUGGGGUGAAGUCGUAACAAGGUAGCCGUACCGGAAGGUGUGGCUGGAUCACCUCCUUUUGAGGGAGACCUACACCCCUUACAAAUCGAAAAGCAAACAGCCAUAUAGAGAGUAAGUUGGUCGAACCGAGGUCGGUCGCAGACAUUUUGUUUUGGGUAGAAAGCUUUCAAACUAUAAUUUGGUUCGUUUUUGGGCUAUUAGCUCAGGUGGUUAGAGCGCACCCCUGAUAAGGGUGAGGUCCCUGGUUCGAGUCCAGGAUGGCCCACCUGAAAACAGUGAAUAGUGAACAGUAAACAGUGGUCAGAAAAAACUGAUAGCUGGUAACUGAUAACUGAUAACUGAAUUGGGGGGUUUAGCUCAGUUGGUAGAGCGCCUGCUUUGCAAGCAGGAUGUCAGCGGUUCGAGUCCGCUAACCUCCACCUGAUGGUGAUUGCCAAAAUUCCCUUUGAUUGUGAGAAAUCAGCAACAUGACAUGAGUGUCAGACUGCUGAGAAGAUUCUCAGCCAGAACCUUGAAAACUGCAUAGAAACGCGAAAAUAGCAGGCAGACACAGACAUUCGGUAGGGAUGAUUUUGUGAAUGCAUUUGUGAAAGACCAAAUAAUUGAGUGGUCAAGAGAAUAAGGGCUAACGGUGGAUACCUAGGCACACAGAG